GCUGAGAAUCGAACCCUGGUCCUCUGCAAGAGCCACAAGUAUUUGUAAUCACUGGGCGAACUCUUCAGACCCAAUUUUGGUUAUUUUAAAAGCCAAAUACUGUUCUGUUGUAUAAACAAAGCAUGUUUUCAUUAUCCACUCAUUGGUUUAUGGGGGUGUAGGUUGUUUCUGUUUGCUGGCCAUUGUGAAAAAAAUCAGCAAAGAACACAUAUGGUCAGUUGUUUCUAUGGUAGGAUGCAGAGUCCUUUGGGUAUGUGCCUAAGAGUAAUAUAGAGCCAGAUUGUAUGGUAUAUCUAUUUCUAGCCUUCUAGGGAACGGCCACACUGAUUUCCAUAGUGGCUGCACCCAGUUUGUACUCCUACCAGCCUUACAUCCACACUAACAUUCAUCAUCAUCGUUUUUAUUUUCUCUCUCUUAGCCAUCAUGACGGGAGUAAGUUGAAAUCCCAAGGUAAUCUUAAUAUGCAUUUCCCAAUAGCCUAGGAUCUUGAAAGUGUUUUAAAAUACUUCUCGGCCAUUUGUAUCUCAUCUUUUGAGAACUCCCUGAUUAGUUCCUGGCUUCAUUUUUUAAACCUGGAUUGUCUUCUUGAGGUUUUUUUUUGGGGGGGGGGGUUCUCUGUAUAGUUUAGCUAUGACUGGUAUAGCUAGUGAGUAAUUUUUCCCAAUUCUAUAGACUGCUCCUUUACUUGAAUAGUGGUUUUCUUGGCAGUAUAGAAGCUUUGUAGUUGCAUGAGGUCCCAUUUCUUAAUGAUUGGUCUGAAUGUCUGCACAGUCAGUGUCCUGUGCCCGUGAGUUCAAGGAUAGCCCUUUCUGUCAGAUUCAGUGUAUCAGGUCUUUCGUUUAUAGCCCUUGGACCAUUUGGAGUUAAGUUUUGUGUGGAGUGUGUGUGUGUGAAAUAAGGUUAUAUAUAGUUCCAUUAGCAGCAUAUUGAUGUUGAUGUCUUUUCUCCAAUGUGUAUUUUAGGCUUUUGUUGUUGUUGUUGUUGUUGUUGUUGUCAAAAAUCAGAUGACUCUAAGAACCUGUGCUUAUAUAUGGGUUCUCAUUUCUGUUUCAUCAGCCAAUGUGUCUGGUUUUAUGCCCGUGCAAAUGUGGUUUUUAUUACUAUAGCUCUAUACUAUAAUCUCUGGAGAGUUCAGAAAUGAUCAGGUCAGUGCGUCUGCUGGGAUCCAUACUAUCUCAGGCAAAGGCCAAAGAGAUCUGCCACACUUAGAAGCCCAGACCAGCCCCGUGGGAAGUGGCACAAGGAACCUGUAACCCACCUUGCCUGCCCUGUGGGGCUGAGCUCAUGGCCAUUCUACAGGCUUCCGGGGAGACAUUGCACAGGGCCCAGCCCCGCCUCCCCGGCUCCUCACAGCUAUUCAUUCUCUUCUCCCAACUGACUUCCAAUUUUGCUGGCAGCCAGCUGCUUCCCUCGAGACCCAUGGCUGCCCUCUACGCUUGCUGUAAUAACACGUGUGUGUGUGCAAGUGCACAUGGAGGACAGAAGCCUCCGUUCUCUGGAGCUGGCGUUGCAGACGGUGUGUGCUCUCUGAUGUCGGGUCUGGGAUCUGAACUCAGGUCCUCUGGAAAAACAGCAGGUGCCGCGAGCGCUGCAGGUUACCGUGCAGACAUGGCCAGGUCCAAGAACCAUAGAACCAGUCCCAAAAAUGGCUCAGAAAUGGCGUCAAGAAGCACACACCUUUAAUCCCAGCACUUGGGAGGCAGACGCAGGCAGAUUUCUGAGUUCGAGGCCAGCCUGGUCUA